GAAUCCGGAAGGGGAAAGCGGAAUUCCUGGUGUACCGGUGAAAUGCGUAGAUAUCAGGAGGAACACCAGUGGCGAAGGCGGCUUUCUGGUCCGGAAUUGACGCUGAGGUACUAAAGCGUGGGUAGCAAACAGGAUUAGAUACCCUGGUAGUCCACGCCCUAAACGAUGGAUACUUGAUGUCGGGAUGUUCGGUCGUCUCGGUGUCGUAGCUAACGUGUUAAGUAUCCCGCCUGGGGACUACGGUCGCAAGACUGAAACUCAAAGGAAUUGACGGGGGCCCGCACCAGCGGUGGAACAUGUGGUUUAAUUCGAUGCAACGCGAAGAACCUUACCUGGGCUUGACAUAUAUAUGAAGUAUGUAAGAAAUUAUGUAUUCUGUCUGCAUUUGCAGGUAGCAUAUAUACAGGUGAUGCAUGGCUGUCGUCAGCUCGUGUCGUGAGAUGUAGGGUUAAGUCCCUUAACGAGCGCAACCCUUGCUUUUAGUUGCCAUCAGGUAAUGCUGGGGACUCUAGAAGGACUGCCGAGGUUAACUCGGAGGAAGGUGGGGAUGACGUCAAGUCAGUAUGUCCCUUAUGUCCAGGGCUACACACGUGUUACAAUGGACGGUACAGAGUGCAGCUACGCCGUGAGGCUACGCAAAUCACUUAAAGCCGUUCCCAGUUCGGAUUGGAGUCUGCAAUUCGACUCCAUGAAGUUGGAAUCGCUAGUAAUCGCAGAACAGCAUGCUGCGGUGAUACGUUCCCGGGCCUUGUACACACCGCCCGUCACGCCAUGGAAGUUGGGAGUACCCAAAGUUGCUGUC
rnacentral:rRNA from 1 species